AAUAAUUUGUAUUUUAUAAUUUCUAAGGGCAUUGUAUCGUCGACGACUUAUGUGUAUGUCAGUAAUCCAAGUAAUGUACAAGAGUACAUGUGUUAAAAUAUAAAAAUACGAUUUAAUAAGUAAAACUAUACUGAAACAGUACAACAUACUUGUUAUUCGUCUUUAGAGUACUAACUGUAAAGAGGUCUGCUAUUCCUGAAGCGGCGAAGAGGAAGGAGUCUUCUGCUCACCGUUUGCAGCCCGGCCGAAGAGAUUCAAUAGUAAAGGUAGAUUUGGGAGGACCAAGUCCCCCACUGGGCACACGUUUGGAGACUUAAUGGCAGCAACGAAGAUCAUGGCAGAGACGAUAUUUCCUGACGACCCUUUCCGCUUCUAUGUCAAGAUGACCAGAGGGCCGGACAAAACCAACCUCCACCGCAUGGUGACCAUGCUUGCGGAAGACCUCGCAAAAAGCAAGCGGGCGGCACUUUUCCGGAAAAUCUCCAAGCGCAAGUCUUCUAUCGAGCGUGCUUAAAAAAAGGUGAAUAAAGUAUCUGAAAGCCAAAA